AUAACGGCACGAAGCAAUGAAAUGUUCGAUGUAACCGGGCACCUAUCGAACAUGGAGCUAGUGGUGCGACCGACGUUUCAUACG
rnacentral:ncRNA from 16 species